UCUCAGUGAUGGUCGUUCUUCAGCAUUUGGCCAAGGUCAGACAGGUACUUAGCACUUAGGAAAUGCAAGCUCAAGGCAGGGUGUGAGGAGCAUCUUCUCUUACAGAAGUCUUUCUGGAAAGCCAAUGGAAAUUAUUUGCUCAAAUAUUAGUGAUUUGUGAGAUAAUCUAUUAUAGAUUAAUCAUUUCAGUCUUAUGGUGCAAUGUCAAAAAUAAAUUGGGGUUAUGAAGCUGGAGGGGAGCCACUUGGGGGUCGUGUGCUCUCCCUGACGUUCCUUAUUUGACUUUGAAAAUAGCGUCAUGACAAGAUUUUUGAAGCUGAUUGUUACCCCACAGAAUCCAAAUCACAAGCUCCUCCAGCAAUCAGUGGAACUAUUAAUUAACUUGAGAGCAGUCCCUGGCCCAUUGCAAGCAUGGCAAGAUCCAUGCAAGAGGGCAGAUAUGAAGGAAGAUACAGGACUCACAUUCCAGCAAAGAUGUCUACAGAGAGAUGUGCUUCCCUCUAAGGAGCCAUCAGGUCCCACUGACAUUGCUGCCUUCUAAAAUGGAUGUUCUUCAGCCUGCAUCACUCAUCCAUAGGACACAGCUCUUUUCAUACCAUCUUCCCCACACAGGGCUAAGGAGAACAGAGAUCAAGCACAUCCAUGCAAAGGAUGGCUGGUUGGGAUCACAUCUGUGAAGCAGCACAGUCACCAAGGAGCAGGUUGGAGAAGAAACAGCACUUUUGUACCCAUGGCAUGAGACAGGGGGGCCCUCAGGAGUCAGGCACCCACUGUGGUUGGUAGGAUAUAAACAAACCCCAUGGAGAACCAAGAUGCUC